GAUGAACGCUGGCGGCGUGCUUAACACAUGCAAGUCGAACGGAGGACCCUUGACGGAGUUUUCGGACAACGGAUAGGAAUCCUUAGUGGCGGACGGGUGAGUAACGCGUGAGGAACCUGCCUUGGAGAGGGGAAUAACACAGAGAAAUUUGUGCUAAUACCGCAUGAUGCAGUUGGGUCGCAUGGCUAUGACUGCGACAGCUUUAUCGCUCUGAGAUGGCCUCGCGUCUGAUUAGCUAGUUGGUAGGGUAACGGCCUACCAAGGCGACGAUCAGUAGCCGGACUGAGAGGUUGACCGGCCACAUUGGGACUGAGACACGGCCCAGACUCCUACGGGAGGCAGCAGUGGGGAAUAUUGGGCAAUGGGCGCAAGCCUGACCCAGCAACGCCGCGUGAAGGAAGAAGGCUUUCGGGUUGUAAACUUCUUUUAUGAGGGACGAAGGAAGUGACGGUACCUCAUGAAUAAGCUCCGGCUAACUACGUGCCAGCCGCCGCAGUAA
rnacentral:rRNA from 1 species